rnacentral:lncRNA from 1 species
CUCUCCCCAGGUCAGAACUUCCAGCUCCUUGGUCCUGACCUCGCAGCUGCCUCUCAUGCUGAUGUGUACCGGUUACGUCAAUCACAAGUGAACCACAGCUGGCCCGCCAUGAACUGGAAGGUUCUCGAACACGUGCCUCUGCUGCUGUAUAUCUUGGCAGCAAAGACCCUGAUCCUUUGCCUGGCCUUUGCGGGAGUGAAAAUGUACCAGAGGAGAAGCUUGGAAGGAAAACUGCAAGCUGAGAAGAAGCGGCAAUCAGAGAGGAAAGAGAACUGAAGAGACCUUAGAGGUACUGGGCUUUGCAGACAAAACCUGCCCAGAGGGCUGCAGUGCCCGGCCAAGGAUUUUCCUAUUCAAAUGUCAGCUUGGGUGGACUCCAGCAGCGAAGAGAGAAGAAAGACUUAACAGAGGAGGACACAGUUCUGGCCUAGACCUUUAACUUAAAUGAUUAACAGCGUGAAUUUUUAUAAGUUUUUAGAAGAACCAGUAUUUUGUUUACUGAAAUAAAAUGCAUUAUUCUU